rnacentral:lncRNA from 10 species
ACUUUUUUUCCAUGGAAUUGCUAAAAAUGGGAGCCUCUCUGUUUCUGCAGCCCUAUAAACUGAAAUUAAAUUUUAAGGGACAAGUUGCCUUUCUGAUGGUUGGGCUACAUGGCAAGUUCUCCAGACCACCUGAUGCCAUAACCAAAGACAUUCCAGCAGCAAUCCAGGACAUAAUGUUGCUGGCUUCAUGCUAUGGACAGCUUUUCCCAAGAAUGCUAGCCCAGCACUUUGAGAUGAUAAUCAAUGUUUAUGGAACAGACAAAAUUCAACUUAACAAUGGACUGCAGUCCCAGCUUUAUCAGUUAUGUGUGGUCUUGGACAAGUUAUUUUACUUCUCUGAACUCAGUUUUCUCAUUCAUAAAGUGGAAAUAAUAAUCUCUAUCUUAUGGGAUUGUUGAAAGGACUAGAAUGAAUAUAUGCAAAGCUCUUGGUAGAAAUUGAGAACUCAAUGAAGACAGAAGAGAUGUAAGUCAAUAUGAUGAGUAAGUCAAAUGAUGCUGGAGUUGGGUCUUGGAAGGAAAACAACAUUCAAAUAGGUAGAGGUAGAAAGAAAAGAGAUUCCAACCAGAAUGAGUGUGAACAAAGAGGAAGCCACAGUACAGUGGGAUGUGUGCAAUUACUGAAAACUUUGCAUAGAUUUGGCUAGAGUAGUAGAGUUCUCCUUCAAUAGGAGCAGUGGCAGAAAAAGGACUGGAGGGAAGGAUGGACUCAGACACAGAGGGCAACAAGAUAAGGGCAAAGGGUGUGUGUCUCCUUGGAGGCCACCAUGUGCUGCCCUGCUAUUGUCUGGGGACUGGGUGAAAGUCAAUAUUGCCCUGCUCAGGACCAAGAGACAUUGCUACCAUUGGCACUGCUUGGAUGUUCCUGAUGCUCCCAGAACCUCUGUCACUUAGGAAAUUACAAGGGUUUAGAUACUUUGUACCAGAAAUGAGGUAAAAGCCAAAUAUAUAUUUAUUUCUCCUUAUAUAUAUAUAGAGAGAGAGAGAUGGGGUCUUGCUUGUUGCUCAGGGUGGUCUUGAACUACUCCUGGCCUCAAGCAAUCCUCCUCUUGGCCUCCCAAAGUGCAGAGAUUCAUAUAGAUAGAUAGAUAGAUAGAUAGAUAGAUAUAAUACAUAAGAAAUAUAUCUAUUUUUUCUUGUUUUGUAUUAUAAUCUCCUAUUAUUUUUAUCUGACCCAUCAAAUUCUGCUGGAAGGAUCUGGUAUCAUACCUUAGUAUGGACUUAUCCAGUGAGUCCCUCUGUUAUUUCUCUGGAGGUAUCUUCACCCUCAGCAAUCCUCCUGAAAGAUGCUCAUCCUGAUUGCAGCACUAUUCACAAUAGCAAAGACGUGGAACCAACCCAAAUUCCCAUCAAUGAUAGACUGGAUAAAGAAAAUGUGGGACAUAUACACCAUGGAAUACUAUGCAGCCAUAAAAAGGGGCUAAGGAAUUGGGUUACUUUGUGCCCCGCCUCUGCCCGCAGGGAAGACCAUUCCUGGAUUUACCCUUCGAGGGAGCAGUAGAAGCGGAUCUGGCAUGAAGUGGGGGACACAACUCCCCUUAUGCUCCCAGCACAUCUCCUGGGCUGAGGCCAUCUCAGAUUGGAAGACCAGCUUUCCAAAGCAAGUCUCCUCCACAUCAUGAAGGAGAAAAAGGUGAAACAUUUGAUGUCCUGAUGGUAAUAGGAUCACAGGCUCUAAAACAUGAGGGAGGUGGGGCUGGACAAAGUCUUUAGGAGACUGCUGAAUUGUUGACUUUAUUCCAAGUCAGGAUCCCGAGUAAUCACUGAGCCUCAGUAUAAUUAUAUGCACAUGAGAAGCUAUUUAUUUCUUGCAUUCUGCUUAUCUUUGCCAAGAAAACACUCCUCCCCCAUGCCUUAAAAUGCCCAGAGACAUGGUUCUGGAUGAGCCACUUGGAGGGCUAAGGGCACCUGCUGGCUGAGGCCCAUGAGAACACACCAGCCCUGUGGGGAAAGUGUGGAGCUCAUGUACCCACUGCCCUUUCCCUGCUCAGAGCAGGGCAUCCCGACAGCAGCUAUGAAUGCACCUGCUCUGAGCAUCUCCCCGCCAGGCUCUGUGCACUCCAUCAGGGUCCUCUUCUGAGCCUGGCACUGCUCACCUGGGCAGAGAGUCCACUCAAGCCCCAGAGUCCUUGGCUUCAUUGGAAGUUCCUCCUGGGAGCAUCAACACAGCCCUUUCCCCCGUAUCCACUGGCUUUUGGGGAGCUGGGCCUGGGAAGCCCUUUUCUCUCCCUACGCUGUAUUCAUCCUGCCAGCCAAGCUGGAGCCUCUGCAUUUUUUAGUCCAAUUAUUGGCAGCUGUACAGGUUUCCCAGAACACCUGGCCCUCCUCACCCUCAUUCUGUGGCAUUAUUUAAUCAAACUGGCUAGGAGUAUUUAUAGCUCCCCUGAAAGGCAGCAGCCGCUCCAUUCCCGGGAAAGUGGAACAUUGAGACAUUAAAGAGUAUUUUCAAAAGAAAAAAAGUCCUCUCACAGACUCAUGAUGUUGCCAUCCCAAUGUGUCUUCCAAAAAUAGGCCUCCCGGACAGCUCCUCGGUGCCACCAGCUCUCUCCUCUGUGUACUUGCCACCUGCCAGGCUCAGAGUGAGAAAGCUACCUGCUACUGUUCCCAAAUGGUCAGUUCUAAUUCUCCAGCCCUCCUCCCAACCCAGAAAAUCCCAAUAUUCUUCCCUGGGUAGAUGUCCCUUUGAUUAAAAGAGAUGGAGCCAAGGGAAAUAACUAAAUCACAACUAAACAUUCCCUCUAGUGCAAGGAGUCAAUGAUUCUGGAUACUCUGCCACUCUGUUCUCCAUGGGAGCACCAAAGCCCAUCUUAAAUACAACCUCUUUCAUGCUUUAAGACUUAUGGAAGGAAGCCCAGGCCCAAUGAUUUGCUCAAAGUCCCAAAUGCUCUUUGGACUCAAGGCAUUCUGGUGGAGCAUCAGACAAAUGUGUGGCUCUUGGCCAAGAGCCAGGGAGCACAGAAAACUCUGAAGCUGGGGCAGGUGCAUGCUGGCUAGGCAGAAACAGUUACAGACCUUUGGAGAUGAAGAGCAACUGAGAAGGUAUGGUUGGAGAGCCU